GUGGGGAAUAUUGGACAAUGGGGGGAACCCUGAUCCAGCCAUGCCGCGUGUGUGAAGAAGGCCUUUUGGUUGUAAAGCACUUUAAGCGAGGAGGAGGCUACCGAGAUUAAUACUCUUGGAUAGUGGACGUUACUCGCAGAAUAAGCACCGGCUACCUCUGUGCCAGCAGCCGCGGUAAUACAGAGGGUGCAAGCGUUAAUCGGAUUUACUGUGCGUAAAGCGCGCGUAGGUGGCCAAUUAAGUCAAAUGUGAAAUCCCCGAGCUUAACUUGGGCAUUGCAUGCGAUACUGGUUGGCUAGAGUAUGGGAGAGGAUGGUAGAAUUCCAGGUGUAGCGGUGAAAUGCGUAGAGAUCUGGAGGAAUACCGAUGGCGAAGGCAGCCAUCUGGCCUAAUACUGACACUGAGGUGCGAAAGCAUGGGGAGCAAACAGGAUUAGAUACCCGAGUAGUCC
rnacentral:rRNA from 1 species